rnacentral:rRNA from 1 species
GAUUUCUGGCGUGACAAGCCUGGCCCGCCACGUUUCGUGUGUGAGUGCCGGUUGCAUGUCUGCCAUCCUUCUGUAUCAUCGCUCGGCUCUUCAUUGGGUCGAGUGGCGAUUCAGAUCUUUUACUUUGAAAAAAUUAGAGUGUUUAAAGCAGGCUUUGCUAUGAAUACAUUAGCAUGGAAUAAUAAUUUAGGACUUCGGUCCUAUUUUGUUGGUUUCAGGGACUGAAGUAAUGAUUGAUAGGGAUAGUUGGGGGUGCUCGAAUUCAGCGGCCAGAGGUGAAAUUCUUGGAUUCGCUGAAGACGAACUCAUGCGAAAGCAUU